rnacentral:rRNA from 1 species
AUUGAACGCUGGCGGCAUGCUUUACACAUGCAAGUCGAACGGUAACAGGCCUUCGGGUGCUGACGAGUGGCGAACGGGUGAGUAAUGCAUCGGAACGUACCCAGAGGUGGGGGAUAACGCAGCGAAAGCUGUGCUAAUACCGCAUGUGAUCUGAGGAUGAAAGCGGGGGACCGAGCAGCAAUGUUUGGCCUCGCGCCUUUGGAGCGGCCGAUGUCGGAUUAGCUAGUUGGUGGGGUAAAGGCCUACCAAGGCGACGAUCCGUAGCUGGUCUGAGAGGACGACCAGCCACACUGGGACUGGGACACGGCCCAGACUCCUACGGGAGGCAGCAGUGGGGAAUCUUGGACAAUGGGCGCAAGCCUGAUCCAGCAAUGCCGCGUGCGGGAAGAAGGCCUUCGGGUUGCAAACCGCUUUUGGCAGGAACGAAACGGUGUCCGCUAAUACCGGGCGCUAAUGACGGUACCUGCAGAAUAAGCACCGGCUAACUACGUG